UACGGAGGAUCCGAGCGUUAUCCGGAUUUAUUGGGUUUAAAGGGUGCGUAGGCGGAAAUGUAAGUCAGUGGUGAAAUCCUGCAGCUUAACUGUAGAAUAGCCGUUGAAACUGUGUUUCUUGAGUACAUUUGAGGUAGGCGGAAUGUGGUGUGUAGCGGUGAAAUGCAUAGAUAUACCACAGAACACCGAUUGCGAAGGCAGCUUACUAAACUGUCACUGACGCUGAUGCACGAAAGCGUGGGUAUCAAACAGGAUUAGAUACCCUGGUAGUCCACGCUGUAAACGAUGAUUACUGGUUGUUUGCGAUACACUGCAAGUGACUGAGCGAAAGCAUUAAGUAAUCCACCUGGGGAGUACGUCGGCAACGAUGAA
rnacentral:rRNA from 1 species